GAUGAACGCUGGCGGCGUGCUUAACACAUGCAAGUCGAACGAAGCACUUAAGAUUGAUUCUUCGGAUGACGUCUUUUGUGACUUAGUGGCGGACGGGUGAGUAACGCGUGGGUAACCUGCCUCACACAGGGGGAUAACAGUUAGAAAUGACUGCUAAUACCGCAUAACCCGAUAGGAUCGCAUGAUCCAGACGGAAAAGAUUUAUCGGUGUGGGAUGGACCCGCGUCUGAUUAGCUGGUUGGUGAGGUAACGGCCCACCAAGGCGACGAUCAGUAGCCGGGCUGGGAGGGUGAACGGCCACAUUGGGACUGAGACACGGCCCAAACUCCUACGGGAGGCAGCAGUGGGGAAUAUUGCACAAUGGGGGAAACCCUGAUGCAGCGACGCCGCGUGAGUGAAGAAGUAUUUCGGUAUGUAAAGCUCUAUCAGAAGGGAAGAAAAUGACGGUACCUGACAAAGAAGCCCCGGCUAACUACGUG
rnacentral:rRNA from 1 species